AGAUGAGAUAUCUUUUGGGGUUGAUGGUUUCACCGCCAUUGGAUUGGGAAGGCCCUCCAACAUUUGCAAUAGACACCUCAUUUAUUUUUGUGGUUGAGAUGAAAUAUUUCAUGAGCUGAUCAUUGAGCACCAUUGGAUUACAAUAGCCCCCCACAGUUUUUGCCAUAUUUUCUCCAAAGCCCUCUUCUGGGGGUUUCUGAUCAAAUCUUCACGAGCUACUUUAAUGGAGGAUUUGGGAUUAAACUUUACAGAGAAGGCAACAAACGGAAAGAGCACCUUUUCAGCCAAAAGCUUGAGGGAUAGAGGAGUAAGAGGAGAGGGCUAGUUUUUGAUUAGGAUAAACAUUCUCUAAUGUAAGUCACUUUCCUCACAAUUAUUUUCUAUUCAUUUUUUUUAAAUUAUUGUAUUUUAGUUCUUUUUUUAUUUUUUUUGUCAUGUAAAUUUGUACUCCUUGAUCCACUGUUGUUACUAAUCUAUCAUCAAUGAUGAGAGUUGAAGAAUUUCCCUUUAUCUUUCCUUUUCUGUAUUCCAAGUUAAUUAUUUGUUAAUAUGUUGUGAGUAAGAUAUUGAGCAUCAACAAACAGCUAUAUGGCAACUCUUUUAAUGAUUUGGAAGUGAAUUGCCGAAUCUGAUUGGAAGAAAUAAUUAAAAAAAAACGUAGGAUAGUCUUGAAUCUAGUUGCUAUAAUUGUGAACAAAUGAUCAACGGAUUAAGGUAAAAAAAAAAAUUUUUUUUGAAAAGAAAAAGUUAAGGUAAAUCAAGAAACAUCCAGUCACAGAAGCCCAUGAUCAGGCACUUGAUCUGGAACCUAUAUAUACUUCCGCUUAGAAAGUGAAAGCCCAUUCCCCUUUAUCCAUCAAAAGUUUCAUUUCACCAAAUAUUACAUGCCACAGGACUUUUUAGUCAAGAAAUCUCUAUAUACCAAAAUGUUCCUUUUCAAAUUGGUUGAAGAAGGAAAAAAAACAUUGCAUGUAGUUUCCAAAAGGCAAUGUAGAGUAAGUCCAAGAAGUACUUGUUACUAUUGUAAGCAUAAUAUUUGCUUCAAACCAACUCAAAAUACAUAUGGAGAUAACCAAUGCAAUAUGGUGUCACUAGCGGAAGAACAAUAAUCAGUAAACAGCUGAUUUCUCAUGUGUUUAUUUAUUUGCAUGGAAAUCUUACUGUUAUGGUUUAAAAUAUCUUCAAAAUCAAGUGGAAAAAUGACUAAAAGGGAUUUUUCCAUCUAUGAUCAAUAUCCUUUUUUGUUUCAAAUGAUCCCUUAGAUCCUUGAUUUUGUCACAGCUAAUGUUGCAUUCAUUUUAGUUUGUGGUACCAGGACUAAAUUCAGUGAAACAGACAGAUUCUGGAGUCAUAAAAAGGAAAAUCAUUCAAAAAUUUUGUGAUUUUCUUUGUGUUUUGAAAAGGAGAAGUAAUUGGCAAUUUGGCAUAUAUCCCUGAGGUAGGAGAAGUGACAAAUUCUAUAAAUGGGCCAGUUUUAGAAAGUCCCUUAAAAAUUUGAGGUUUGGCCCUGUCCCUAGACUGGUAAAGGAUUGUUUUUCCGGGAUUGGGGAUUGACAUACAUUUUAUCAUUUCUCCUCUUAUUAUGGUCAAAGUAUUUCUUUAAUUGAUAUCUCUUUUUUUUUCUUGACUCACGCAUAUCUUUCUACUGUGUCAUUUCUACCUAAUUUGGACUGAUUGAGCAUAAAGAAGCUAAAAUGAGAUGAUUUUCCUCUUUUUUGGCUGCUCAAAGAAACUCAAGUGAUGGCCAGGGAUAAACAAAAAGAAAAAAAACCCCAACUAUGGUUUUUUUUUUAAAUUUUUUUUUAUCAUUAUUAAAAGGGCAACCUCAGCUGUGACAGUUGUAUAUUUGGAGCUGAUUCAGGUUUGUUCUUGUACCACCUUAAUUUGUUUUAAUGCUUAUUUUCCCCUUUGAGGCGUUUACUUGUACUUCAACUCUUCGUGUACAUGUAUGCACACAUGCAUGCAACAAAGACAUGACUAUGGAAAGAACUAAGGGGGCUGGAAUAAAAUCGAUAGCUCAUUCUCAAUUCUUAAUACUAUAGUAAAUUACGAGUGAAAUCAAUAUUAUAUGGCUCACAUCCUGCAAAAAAGAAUAAUGUCGAUACUGUAUUACUGGUAAUUCAAGAAAACACCUAGUUCUAGCUAGUUGGAAGUUGGCAUGGUGCAUGCAGAAUUAGUCUUCAUGGAUUCUUCUUCAGAGCGUCUAUAUACCUCACUUCCAUGAUGUCAUUAUUUGAAAUGAAGUCAAGAAAACCACUGAAGCUCCCUUCUGCGUAGGACAAAGGAUGUUGAUCAUCCACAAGCAGCGGGGCAGGUCCUACCUUCCUCUCUAAGGCUAAACUAUGAAGGCUCGCAAUGGAAAUACGAUCAGUGUCCGAGUUAACCGUA
rnacentral:lncRNA from 1 species